rnacentral:sRNA from 1 species
UUCAUAAGUCUGAAGUUCGGCGAUGGCCUU